AUUGAACGCUGGCGGCAGGCUUAACACAUGCAAGUCGAGCGGGGGAAGGUAGCUUGCUACCGGACCUAGCGGCGGACGGGUGAGUAAUGCUUAGGAAUCUGCCUAUUAGUGGGGGACAACAUCUCGAAAGGGAUGCUAAUACCGCAUACGUCCUACGGGAGAAAGCAGGGGAUCUUCGGACCUUGCGCUAAUAGAUGAGCCUAAGUCGGAUUAGCUAGUUGGUGGGGUAAAGGCCUACCAGGGCGACGAUCUGUAGCGGGUCUGAGAGGAUGAUCCGCCACAAUGGGACUGGGACACGGCCCAGACUCCGACGGGAGGCAGCAGUGGGGAAUAUUGGACAAUGGGGGGAACCCUGAUCCAGCCAUGCCGCGUGUGUGAAGAAGGCCUUAUGGUUGUAAAGCACUUUAAGCGAGGAGGAGGCUACUUUAGUUAAUACCUAGAGAUAGUGGACGUUACUCGCAGAAUAAGCACCGGCUAACUCUGUGCCAGCCGCCGCCGUAA
rnacentral:rRNA from 1 species